AUUGAACGCUGGCGGCAUGAUUUACACAUGCAAGUCGAACGGUAACAGGCCGCAAGGUGCUGACGAGUGGCGAACGGGUGAGUAAUGCAUCGGAACGUGCCCAGUCGUGGGGGAUAACUACUCGAAAGAGUAGCUAAUACCGCAUACGAUCUAUGGAUGAAAGCGGGGGACCGUAAGGCCUCGCGCGAUUGGAGCGGCCGAUGUCAGAUUAGGUAGUUGGUGGGGUAAAGGCUCACCAAGCCAACGAUCUGUAGCUGGUCUGAGAGGACGACCAGCCACACUGGGACUGAGACACGGCCCAGACUCCUACGGGAGGCAGCAGUGGGGAAUUUUGGACAAUGGGCGCAAGCCUGAUCCAGCAAUGCCGCGUGCAGGAAGAAGGCCUUCGGGUUGUAAACUGCUUUUGUACGGAACGAAACGGCUCUGGUUAAUACCCGGGGCUAAUGACGGUACCGUAAGAAUAAGCACCGGCUAACUACGU
rnacentral:rRNA from 1 species